CUUCAAUGUUUGAUUAUGUUUGAUUUUUCGUCUUAUUUAAAAAAAAUUAUGAUUACUAUUUUUAUUGUUAUUAGAUGAUAAAACAUGAAUAGUACUUUAUGUGUGACUACUUUUAAAAAAUAAUUCAUAAAUUUUUCAAAUAAAACGGACGGUCAAACAUUGGACACUUUAGGAUGGACGUAGU
rnacentral:pre_miRNA from 1 species